rnacentral:lncRNA from 1 species
CUAGGAGCUGGAAAUGCCCAUUAAUUACCUGAUAUUAUAAGACUACUAAAAACUAAAUAUGCAGAAUUUUUUUUAAAAAUUUUUAGUUGCAAAUUUGGUUCUUCCACUUGAGAGCCAACGCAGAGAGUGCCUUUGCAGAUGAGCCUUCUUGGGUGAGAACUCUGUCAGCUGCCUCUUUUAGGUCUUUCAUUCUGUUGCGGACCUUCUUUCCUUCUUCGCCUUCCAUUAGGCUUCUCACUACUUUUGAAAUUUCUUGUCUUUCGAUCAGGCCAUUUUGAGAAUUUCUUGUUGGUCUCAGGGCCACUUUGAUGUCCUCAGUUAACAUCACAGCGUUCAUUUUUUGCUCAGCGUAGAGUGGCCAGGCAAUU